UAGUUAGAUAGUUAGACAGAGAGUGAAGGUUGUUGAGCUGUGUUCUUGGUGUAGAGAGAGAUCUCACAAGAUUUGAGACUAGUGGAACUUGCUGGACUCGGAUCUAGCCCCAGAGAUUAGUGUCUCACAUCGAGUGAGAUACUCGGGGUCGGAGUUUACAAGAAGUGGUAUCAGAGCCAGGUUCUCAAUACAGAUCUCGAUGGCUCUUCCUGUGGUGUCUGCUCAGGUGGAGCGUUUCGACGGAACCAGUGACUUUUCGAUGUGGACUAUCAGGAUGAUGGCACACUUCGGCGUAUCAGGUUUUAAGGAGGUGAUAACCAGCGACAACUUCGGGAUCACCGUUCCAAUCACAAAGAGCGAUGGAAAGAAAUCAGAAGAUGGUGAAGAAGAAGCAUCAUCCGAAACAAAGGUGAUUUUCGAUCCCGUAAAACUUGAGAAAGAUGAACGCGAUCGAGAUAUGAUCAUCGUAUAAUUGGCGAUCAAGUUUUGAGGAAGGUCAAACAUUGUACCAUUGCAGCUUCUAUGUGGUCUAUGCUUGAAAGACUGUAUAUGUCGAAAUCCCUUUCAACAGGGUUCAUGUUCAAUAUCAACUUUACACAUAUAAGUGUGACGGCUCAAAAUCUGUUGAUGAUUUCCUCAAGAUUGUUGCUGAAAUGAGUAGCUUGAAUGUGAUUGUGUAAUAUGAGAUUCAAGCAAUCAUUUUCUUGAAUUCAUUGCCACUGAGUUAUGAUCAACUCAAGCACUCACUAAAGUAUGGCAAAGAGUCACUCACAUUGGAAGAGGUCAUUGCAGCUGCAAGAUCAAAGCAGUGAGAGUUGUCAGAGUCUUCUAGGUUGGAUAAUGGAUCAGCGACAGUACUAUACUUAAGUGAAAUAGGAAGGUCUCCCAAAAGAGACUUCAAAGAUUUCAAAAGAAAUAGAGGCCGAAGUAAAUCGAAGUCCAAGAAUGUCACUUUUGGUAUUGCAAGAAAGAGGAAAUACAAAGAAAGAUUGCUAUGCACGGAACAGAAGAAUGGAAACAAAAGGUGAUGGCGAGUCUGCAGUAGCUAUUGAGCCUACGGGAAACAUGUAUGCUUUGAAUGUUUCUGCACCAGGAUCUAGUGAGGAUUGGGUUAUAGACUCUGGAUGCACACAUAACAUGACCUCGAGACGUGACUGGUUUGUUGAGUUUCAGGAGAAAGGUUCAAGUAAGAUACUUUAUUGGUGAUUAUCACUCAGUGGACACAGUUGGCUCAGGUACUAUCAGGAUUAAUACAAAUGGUGGCACUGUUAAAAUGCUGAAAAGUGUCCGUUAUGUACCAAGUCUGAGAAGGAACCUACUCUCAACGGGUGUUCUUGAUAAUAUGGGGUUUUACUCAUUCAGGAGGACAAGGCAAGAUAGUUUUCAAGAAGAACAACUACCUUUCCCUACAAGGAUUACUGAGUAAUGGUCUGUACAUUCUUGAUGGUUCAACUAUCACCGCAGAAAUUUUUAUGCAGAGAUCUCAGAGACUACAUUAUCUCUUUGGCAUAGUCGCCUGGGUCACAUGAGUGACAGAAACCUCCACGAACUGGUUUAGGGAUGGUAUUCUGAAGAAGAAAGAGGUUGGAAAAGAAGCGUUUUGUGAACACUGCGUUGUUGGUAAAGCAACCAAGUUAGUUUUGAGACCGAGAAGCAUGAUACUAAAGAUGUCCAAGAUUACCUUCAUACUGACUUAUGGGGCUCACCAAAUGUGCACCCCUCUCUCUGGAAACCAAUAUUUCCUAUCCAUUAUUGACGAUCAUUCAAAAAAGGUUAGGCCAUAUUCUUUAAGACAAAGGAUGAUACAUUUGCAAGUUUCUGUGAUUAGAAAUGGCUGGUAGAAAAUCAGAUUGACUGGAAAGUAAAGUGCUUAAGAACUGAUAAUGGCUUGGAGUUUUGUAAUAGUGUUCUCAGGGAUUUCUGCAGGAAGCAUGAGAUCUCUAGACACCACACAUGUACCUACACCCCUCAGAAAAAUGGGGUAGCUGAGAGGAUGAGUAGGACUAUAAUGGAGAAAAUUCGUUGUUUACUUUAUGAAUCAUGUCUUGAUGAGAAUUUUGGGAUGGUGCUGCAGCGAUUGCAGUGCACGUAAUUGAUAUACUAUGGAUUUUACUGGUUUUAGUCAUAGUAUAAAUCAUAUAUAGAGUCUAUAUAUUGUGUUUCGAAUAUGUUUUAGAUUCUUUACAGGUCUAGGUGUGUUUUGGAACAUUGUUGGAUUAUGGAGCCAAUUGGAACUUAAAGAUGAGAAAACUCGUAGCUAUUCAAGAACUAAGAAGUCAGAGACAAGUUUUGGAGGAGUGUCGAUCAACACCUUCCUUGGUGUCGUUCAACACCAACGCAAGUAGAUGGACCAACUCUAUUUCCAGAAUCAAGUAUGGUCAAAAAAAUUAACAUAUUACAAAAUUGCCCCUCGCAAAUUUCAUACCUAAUAUAUAUAGUUUUUAAGCCAUUGUUUAGGCUAAAGAACUUUUAAUUAGAAGCUUUAUUAUUUUUAGAGUUUUGGAGAGAAAAUCAGAGAAUUACUUUAGAGGUUUUGAUUAUAACUCCAAUAUUUAUAUCUUUUUUUUUAAUGCAAUUCAUUCAGUUAUUUUUUA